rnacentral:rRNA from 1 species
GAUGAACGCUAGCGGCAGGCCUAAUACAUGCAAGUCGGACGGGAUUCACCAGCUUGCUGGUGAUGAGAGUGGCGCACGGGUGCGUAACGCGUGAGCAACCUGCCCAUAUCAGGGGGAUAGCCCGGAGAAAUCCGGAUUAAGACCGCAUAAUACAGAUUGACUGCAUGGUUAAACUGUUAAAUAUUUAUAGGAUAUGGAUGGGCUCGCGUGACAUUAGCUAGUUGGUAGGGUAACGGCCUACCAAGGCGACGAUGUCUAGGGGCUCUGAGAGGAGAAUCCCCCACACUGGUACUGAGACACGGACCAGACUCCUACGGGAGGCAGCAGUAAGGAAUAUUGGUCAAUGGAGGCAACUCUGAACCAGCCAUGCCGCGUGCAGGAAGACGGCCCUACGGGUUGUAAACUGCUUUUGUACGGGAAUAACCCCCAAUACGGGUAUUGGGCUGAAUGUACCGUAAGAAUAAGGAUCGGCUAACUCCGUGCCAGCAGCCGCGGUAA